UUUCCUUCUGCUUUUUCUUUGCAAGAAAUGCAUUAUACUUCUUGUUGGUCCCAACCAACUUAUCCUACCAGGUGAAGACAGGGUUGUGAGUGUGUGAGAAAGCCCGAGUGUCUGGGAAACCUCCGUGUCCAUUUACCUGGUGCCUGCCAAGCAGUGUGUACUCUUGUUCACUGGCAGCGUGCACAUCUCGCCUCUUGCUACUUCUUGUGUGUCCCUACAGCCUGUUUUGAAACCUUUUAAUGCAGAGGGAUGAGCCUGGGACUGACCUCGAGGAAAACGUGAACGGAGGAAAACGUGAACGGAGGAAACGACAGGAGUGUCAGGAGGCAGUACCCAAGUGAAAUUACAUUUCUUAAUAAGGAAACUCGGCUGCACGGAGUUUGGAAGGUGCUCUGCAGAAAUGUAAUAACUGCUUGUUCACCUGUCAAA